rnacentral:rRNA from 1 species
UACGUAGGUCCCGAGCGUUGUCCGGAUUUAUUGGGCGUAAAGCGAGCGCAGGUGGUUUAAUAAGUCUGAUGUAAAAGGCAGUGGCUCAACCAUUGUGUGCAUUGGAAACUGUUAGACUUGAGUGCAGUAGAGGAGAGUGGAAUUCCAUGUGUAGCGGUGAAAUGCGCAGAUAUAUGGAGGAACACCGGUGGCGAAAGCGGCUCUCUGGACUGUAACUGACACUGAGGCUCGAAAGCGUGGGUAGCAAACAGG